GGUAAUUCUGGAGCUAAUACAUGCACCAAAGCUCCGAUCCUCGCGGAGAGGAGCGCAUUUGUUCGCCACAAAACCAAGCGCCCUUCUGGGCGUCCAUUGCUGAACCAGAACAACUCAGCUGAUCGCACGGUCUUGCACCGGCGACGUGUCUUUCAAGUGUCUGCCUUAUCAACUUUCGAUGGUAGUGUACCUGACUACCAUGGUUGUGACGGGUAACGGAGGAUAAGGGUUCGACUCCCGAGAAGGGGCCUGAGAAAUGGCCACUACGUCUAAGGAUGGCAGCAGGCGCGCAAAUUACCCACUCUCAACGCGAGGAGGUAGUGACGAGAAAUAACAAGACCGUUCUCUUACGAGGCCGGUUAUUGGAAUGGGUACAAUUUAAACCCUUUAACGAGUAUCUAUGAGAGGGCAAGUCUGGUGCCAGCAGCCGCGGUAAUUCCAGCUCUCAAAAUGAAUAGAAUUAUUGCUGCGGUUAAAAAGCUCGUAGUUGGAUCUGUGCCGACUGGCCGGUCCACCCUCUGGGUGCGCACUGGUUCGGUUGGCUUUUCCGCCGGAGUGCCUGGCGUUGGUGUGCUCGCAAGGGUGUGCCAGCGCGGGUCCGGCAAGUUUACUUUGAACAAAUCAGAGUGCUUCAAACAGGCGUCUCGCCUGAAUGUUCGUGCAUGGAAUAAUAGAAGAGGAUUUCGGUCCGAUUUUAUUGGUUUUGCUGACCGAGAUAAUGGUUAACAGAGACAAACGGGGCCAUUCGUAUUGCUGCGUGAGAGGUGAAAUUCUUGGACCGUAGCAAGACGGACUACAGCGAAAGCAUUUGGCAAGAAUGUCUUCAUUAAUCAAGAACGAAAGUCAGAGGUUCGAAGGCGAUCAGAUACCGCCCUAGUUCUGACCGUAAACGAUGCCAACUAGCGAUCCGCCGGCGGAUUCAUUCGCCCUGGUGGGGAGCUUCCCGGAAACGAAAGUCUUCCGGUUCCGGGGGAAGUAUGGUUGCAAAGCUGAAACUUAAAGGAAUUGACGGAAGGGCACCACCAGGAGUGGAGCCUGCGGCUUAAUUUGACUCAACACGGGGAAACUCACCCGGCCCGGACACCGUAAGGAUUGACAGAUUGAUAGCUUUUUCAUGAUUCGGUGGAUGGUGGUGCAUGGCCGUUCUUAGUUCGUGGAGCGAUUUGUCUGGUUUAUUCCGAUAACGAGCGAGACUCUGGCCUACUAAAUAGUUGGCGCAUUGCUACUGUGCGCACUACACUUCUUAGAGGGAUUUUCGGUGUUCAGCCGCACGAAAUUGAGCAAUAACAGGUCUGUGAUGCCCUUAGAUGUCCGGGGCUGCACGCGCGCUACACUGGCAAAAUCAGCGUGCUUGUCCUUCCCCGAAAGGGGUUGGUAAACCCGUGAAAAUUUGCCGUGAUUGGGAUCGGACAUUGCAAUUAUUGUCCGUGAACGAGGAAUUCCUUGUAGGGGCGAGUCAUCAACUCGCUCUGAAUACGUCCCUGCCCUUUGUACACACCGCCCGUCGCUGCCCGGGACUGAGCCAUUUCGAGAAACUCGGGGAUUGUUGGUCUGUCAGCUCUCGGGCUGCCGUUCCGGCGAGAACCGAUUUAAUCGCAGUGGCUUGAACCGGGCAAAAAGUCGACAAAAGUCGUAACAAGGUAGC
rnacentral:rRNA from 1 species